GAGGAAUAUUGGUCAAUGGGCGAGAGCCUGAGCCAGCCAAGUCGCGUGAAGGAAGAAGGAUCUAUGGUUCGUAAACUUCUUUUGCAGGGGAAUAAAGUGCAGGACGUGUCCUGUUUUGUAUGUACCCUGAGAAUAAGGAUCGGCUAACUCCGUGCCAGCAGCCGCGGUAAUACGGAGGAUCCGAGCGUUAUCCGGAUUUAUUGGGUUUAAAGGGUGCGUAGGUGGUUUUAUAAGUCAGCGGUGAAAGUUUGCAGCUUAACUGUAAAAAUGCCGUUGAAACUGUAAGACUUGAGUGUAAAUGAGGUAGGCGGAAUGCGUGGUGUAGCGGUGAAAUGCAUAGAUAUCACGCAGAACUCCGAUUGCGAAGGCAGCUUACUAAGCUACAACUGACACUGAAGCACGAAAGCGUGGGGAUCAAAC
rnacentral:rRNA from 1 species